AGUGAACGCUGGCGGUAGGCCUAACACAUGCAAGUCGAACGGCCGCACAGUAAGAGCUUGCUCUUACGGGUGGCGAGUGGCGGGCGGGUGAGGAAUACAUCGGCAUCUACUUUGUCGUGGGGGAUAACGUAGGGCAACUUACGCUAAUACAGCAUACGACCUACGGGUGAAAUCAGGAGAUCUUCGGACCUUGCGCGAUUCAAUGAGCCGAUGUCGGAUUAGCUAGUUGGCGGGGUAAAGGACCACCAAGGCGACGAUGCGUAGCUGAGCUGAGAGGAUGAUCGGCCACACUGGAACUGAGACACGGUCCAGACUCCUACGGGAGGCAGCAGCGGGGAAUAUUGGACAAUGGGCGAAAGCCUGAUCCAGCCAUGCCGCGUGAGUGAAGAAGGCCUUCGGGUUGUAAAGCCCUUUUGUUGGGAAAGAAAAGAAGCAGGUUAAUACCCCGAUGUUCUGACGGUACCCAAAGAAUAAGCACCGGCUAACUUCGUG
rnacentral:rRNA from 1 species